CCAAUAUCUAUUUACAUUGUUAUGUAAUUAUGCUUUAUUAAUAGAAAUAAAGAUGAUGGUUAGAGCUGUUAACUUACGAACACCUCACUCCGCCAAUGGGCUUUUGGUGUGCGAUGGAAAUUUAUUUUGGUAAUGUUUGGGUCUUGGAUUUGUGGGGAGGAAAAGAAAAUGAAGGGAAAAGUGAAAAUUUUAGCUUUAAUUUCAUUUACUUUCCUCAUUCAUUUUCGUUUCCCUCCAAAAAUCCAAGUUCCAAGCCCAAGAUGCGUGUUUUCUUUAUAUCAUAAUUUCAUAAUUUGGAUAGCAUAUUUAUGGAACAUAAUUGGUGUGGCAAAUAUAUUGAAAAGAUGCUGAGCCACUGCCAAAUGAACUUUGAAAUGUGUUAUAAUGCAUGUAGAUGUCAUGCAUUUGUGUCUGUUUGCCUGUUUGUCUGUCUGUGCUUCUAUGCAUAUUCAUACAUUGAUAAAGGACUCAUUUAAAAUUAUUUUACUAGCAAGGAGUCCGAUCUUAAAUGCCAUAUGAAGCUUCAUAUGAGAUGAUGAUUAUGUUGCUACGGUUUGGCAGAUGGAGUGGGACAUGAGUGGAAUGACACUAGCAACUACUGGAAGUGAAGGUGCCGUGAGGCUGUGGCAAUCUAACUUAAAUGGCAUUUGGCACGAGCAGGCAGCUUUUGAACCCACCACCUAGUCCCUGUUAUUCCGACUGAAUGGUUGCUAUUUCCUGUAUUUAUUUUGCCAGACUACAUAGCUUCAAAAAUUUUAAAUUACCAGCUCUUACGUAUAAAAUUUCUUCCCAGUAUACGCUUACUGGGUCUUUCUAGGCAGAGAUGGAGUGGAAUGUAGUCAUUGUCAUGGUCCUAUGUUUAUGUUGUAUGCAAGGUUUCUGAUGAAUUAGUGAAUUCUAAGGCUAUAGUCAUGGUUAUUUUUUUAUUUGAUUUAUUUUUGACCAA